AACGGUAUAGUUCAAAAGGUUAGAACAUUGGAAUCAUAAUCCAAGAGUUAUAGGUUCAAGUCCUAUUUCCGUUA
rnacentral:tRNA from 1 species